AUUGAACGCUGGCGGCAGGCUUAACACAUGCAAGUCGAGCGGGGGAAGGUAGCUUGCUACCGGACCUAGCGGCGGACGGGUGAGUAAUGCUUAGGAAUCUGCCUAUUAGUGGGGGACAACAUCUCGAAAGGGAUGCUAAUACCGCAUACGUCCUACGGGAGAAAGCAGGGGAUCUUCGGACCUUGCGCUAAUAGAUGAGCCUAAGUCGGAUUAGCUAGUUGGUGGGGUAAAGGCCUACCAAGGCGACGUUCUGUAGCGGGUCUGAGAGGAUGAUCCGCCACACUGGGACUGAGACACGGCCCAGACUCCUAUGGGAGGCAGCAGUGGGGAAUAUUGGACAAUGGGGGGAACCCUGAUCCAGCCAUGCCGCGUGUGUGAAGAAGGCCUUAUGGUUGUAAAGCACCUUAAGCGAGGAGGAGGCUACUCUAGUUAAUACCUAGGGAUAGUGGACGUUACUCGCAGAAUAAGCACCGGCUAACUCUGUGCCAGCCGCCGCAGUAA
rnacentral:rRNA from 1 species